rnacentral:lncRNA from 1 species
AAUUUAUCCAUGGUUGCAAUCAACAUACUCAGUAGACAAUCAACUAUGUGGUUAAGGGAACAAUUGAAACAGGUGGCUCAUUUCGAAAAACCAUCGUAUUACCAUCCAGAAGUGGGUCCAUCAAGAUGGGAGACAGACUGCAAGGUUGUUGAUGCAGUGAAGACAGGUCUGGAAGAAUGGGACCCAUGGGAUCUGAACUCACCAACUCUUCACUCCUUUUGCUCUGGACAGCUAGCAACACGAGCUGGAAUCUUUCUUUUUCGAAUGAGGGGUGGUGAAGAUUAUAUGAAAAGACAUCAAGAGACGCAAGACUGACAUUUGAGUAUGAUGCAACUAAUUUGAAAGUAAAGUAGAUGGGGCUUCCAGUAACACAUCACGCUCCUACUUAUUGACUCCUAAAGGAAUGGAGUUAGAGUUGCAGAAGCCACUGAAGUUCCUAUAUUUGCUUUUUUGGAUUUUUUCCCUACUUCAUCUGUUUGAUCAGUCAGGUAAGCUCUUACAUUUAUAAGAUUCAGUUAUUUCUAAAAUUCCUAUUACUCAUCCUAAUGUUUUAGAAAUUACUCAUCUCAUCUGUUAUACA